GAGUUUGAUCAUGGCUCAGAUUGAACGCUGGCGGAAUGCUUUACACAUGCAAGUCGAACGGCAGCACGGACUUCGGUCUGGUGGCGAGUGGCGAACGGGUGAGUAAUGUAUCGGAACGUAUCCAAUAAUGGGGGAUAACUAGUCGAAAGAUUAGCUAAUACCGCAUACGCCCUACGGGGGAAAGCAGGGGAUCUUCGGACCUUGCGUUAAUGGAGCGGCCGAUAUCUGAUUAGCUAGUUGGUGAGGUAAAAGCUCACCAAGGCGACGAUCAGUAGCUGGUCUGAGAGGACGACCAGCCACACUGGAACUGAGACACGGUCCAGACUCCUACGGGAGGCAGCAGUGGGGAAUUUUGGACAAUGGGCGAAAGCCUGAUCCAGCCAUUCCGCGUGAGUGAAGAAGGCCUUCGGGUUGUAAAGCUCUUUCGCAAGAGAAGAAAACUUACUUUCUAAUAAAGAGUGAGGCUGACGGUAUCUUGAUAAGAAGCACCGGCUAACUACGUGCCAGCAGCCGCGGUAA
rnacentral:rRNA from 1 species